AUUUUCUCAAGCAAUUAAUCAUCUAAAACUACUAUUUACACACAAUCAACAAACUGUCAUUUAUGACAGAUUUAUGAGGCUCUUCUCUACUAAUCACAAGGACAUUAAGUCUAGCUUCAUUUCCAAUUGGUCUUGCGAACAAGGAGGAUUAAAUAAAACAAUGUAGAUAGGUCAAUCUGUCAGGCCAGAUUGACCAUGAAAAUAUAAUACUCAAUUUGACUUCCAAAACAGCAGAAUUAGGACUUCCACAAAAUAAAUAGUUUUAGAGGACGGAUCAAAGUUUCUAUAGGUUCAUAUUUUGCCUCAUUUGGAGUUGUGGAACUCUAGAUAAUGCUCAAACAAGUGGACUGUCACACAGCGGACAGAAAUCCAAAACUCCAAUCAAGUUCACACUAAAAAAGGACCAACCUAAGGUUCACAUAAUUUGGCAUAGCACCAAUCUAACAUCUCAUGCCGUAAUACAACAAUUAAGCCAUAAACACAAAUUAAACACGGUCAAUAAUCAUCAUUUAAAGUAACCCAAAGCCCUUACUCACUUCAUGCAACUAAAUAAAAUUAAAAAAUAGUUACUGAAUUAUGCAGAGAUGAGGUUGAAGUACUAACCUUAGAAAUAAAAAUGAAGAUAGUGAACAAAAUAAGAAAAUAAGGAAGUUAUAAUUAGCCAAAGAAUCAUCCUCAAACAAUGUAAUUCUUAGAGUUGAUAGCUUCAAACUCAUCAUCAGUUCUCCAAUUUAAACUCUAAACAGCCUUCAAUAUCCCUUGUGCCGACCCAAUCCUUGUGUACUUCGAGUUUAAUCUUCAAACAUGGACCAAAUUUAACAAGCAUCAAUUUCCAAUCCAAUCAUAAUAUCACAUAUAUGCCCAAAAUUACUAAACCCAACUCAAGCCUGUCAACAAGAAGUUAGUAUCUUAAGUAAGCUUAAAGCAUAGCCAGGAGAGCUAUGGAGUUGGAUUUAAUCAAAGAAGCCUUUACCAUAGACAUAAAAAGAGAUAACCAAAGUAAGAGUAUGGUGAAUAGUAAAAGUUGUAGAGAAUAUGUAUCAAGAAAAGAGAAUUAGGACAUAAAUGGUUCCAUUAUUUGAAAACUAGGUUUACAAUCAUACACCUCAAAAUAUUUUAAACUGAGCUAACAUACAAGUCUUAAAACAUUUUCAAAUGAGAAACUCGACUCAAAAUCAUAUCAACAUAUUGUCAGAAUAACAUGAAGCAUCCACUCAUCUGCGAUACACAAUAAUUAUUAUUU
rnacentral:lncRNA from 1 species